AGAGUUUGAUCCUGGCUCAGGAUGAACGCUAGCGGCAGGCUUAACACAUGCAAGUCGAGGGGCAGCAUGAAGGUUAGCAAUAACCUUUGAUGGCGACCGGCGCAAGGGUGCGUAACGCGUGAGCAACUUGCCCUUAUCAGGGGGAUAACCAUUGGAAACGGUGACUAAUACCCCAUAGUAUACUUUUAAGGCAUCUUUUGAGUAUUAAAGAAUUUCGGAUAAGGAUAGGCUCGCGUGACAUUAGCUAGAUGGCGGGGUAACGGCCCACCAUGGCGACGAUGUCUAGGGGUUCUGAGAGGAAGGUCCCCCACACUGGAACUGAGACACGGUCCAGACUCCUACGGGAGGCAGCAGUGAGGAAUAUUGGUCAAUGGUCUGACGACUGAACCAGCCAUGCCGCGUGAAGGUCACGGCCCUAUGGGUCUUAAACUUCUUUUGUAAGGGAGCAAUAAGUUUCCACGCGUGGAGCGAUGAGAGUACCUUACGAAUAAGCAUCGGCUAACUCCGUGCCAGCAGCCGCGGU
rnacentral:rRNA from 1 species